GGUGACGACCUACGCACACGAGAACAUGCCUCUCGCAAAGGAUCUCCUUCAUCCCUCUCCAGAAGAGGAGAAGAGGAAACACAAGAAGAAACGCCUGGUGCAGAGCCCCAAAAUGCCCAGGAUGCUAUAAAAUCACCACGGUCUUUAGCCAUGCACAAACAGUAGUUUUGUGUGUUGGCUGCUCCACUGUCCUCUGCCAGCCUACAGGAGGAAAAGCAAGGCUUACAGAAGGAUGUUCCUUCAGGAGGAAGCAGCACUAA
rnacentral:lncRNA from 1 species